UGGGGAAUAUUGGACAAUGGGCGAAAGCCUGAUCCAGCAAUGCCGCGUGAGUGAUGAAGGCCUUAGGGUUGUAAAGCUCUUUUACCCGGGAUGAUAAUGACAGUACCGGGAGAAUAAGCCCCGGCUAACUCCGUGCCAGCAGCCGCGGUAAUACGGAGGGGGCUAGCGUUGUUCGGAAUUACUGGGCGUAAAGCGCGCGUAGGCGGCUUUGUAAGUUAGAGGCGAAAGCCCAGGGCUCAACCCUGGAAUUGCCUUUAAGACUGCAUCGCUAGAAUUGUGGAGAGGUGAGUGGAAUUCCGAGUGUAGAGGUGAAAUUCGUAGAUAUUCGGAAGAACACCAGUGGCGAAGGCGGCAUCCUGGACCGGUAUUGACGCUGAGGCGCGAAAGCCAGGGGAGCAAA
rnacentral:rRNA from 1 species